rnacentral:rRNA from 1 species
CCUACGGGUGGCUGCAGUGAGGAAUAUUGGUCAAUGGGCUAAGGCCUGAACCAGCCAAGUCGCGUGAGGGAAGACGGUCCUAUGGAUUGUAAACCUCUUUUGUCGGGGAGCAACGAGGCCACGUGUGGCCGAAGUGAGAGUACCCGAAGAAAAAGCAUCGGCUAACUCCGUGCCAGCAGCCGCGGUAAUACGGAGGAUGCGAGCGUUAUCCGGAUUUAUUGGGUUUAAAGGGUGCGCAGGCGGAGGUGCAAGUCAGCGGUCAAAUUGCGGGGCUCAACCCCGUACUGCCGUUGAAACUGCAUCCCUUGAGUGCGCGAGAAGUAUGCGGAAUGCGUGGUGUAGCGGUGAAAUGCAUAGAUAUCACGCAGAACUCCGAUUGCGAAGGCAGCAUACCGGCGCGCAACUGACGCUCAUGCACGAAAGCGUGGGUAUCGAACAGGAUUAGAUACCCUAGUAGUC